GAUUUACUGAAACAAACUUGACUACAUGAAUACAGAAGAAAUGUAGUUGUUUGGUUCUACUAUCAAACUAACUGAGUGGACCAGGAGGAGUUUUCAGAGGAGUCUGUGAUAGGCGCUUUGUGACUCCAGGACACGUUGAGAUUAUUUUGCCCUUCUGCCUUCUUCCAUGGGAAAUACAGCAAGAAAGCCCUCGCCACAUGCAGCCCCUCCAUGUUGGACUUCCCAGUCUUCAGAACCAUGAGCCAAAUAAACUUCUAUUGUUUAUAAAUUACUAAGUCUCAGGCAUCUUGUUACAGGAGCACAAAAUGGACUAAGACAUUUAGUAAUGUGAAAUGCAUUGAAGUAUGCUUUGUACAUGAUAAGCACUGAUUAAAUAUUAAAGAUCCUUAUUAGUAUCUUGCAUUGUUACCUCUCUUAUAAUAAUUUAAAAGUUAUAAAACCAAAAGCCUUCGAACUGUAAAAAGAGACUUUGAGGUCUUCAUUUCACUAAUAAUAAAAGUGAAGUCCAAAAAGAUUAAAAAACUUUCUCAGGGCAACACAGCAACUUAAUGACAGGUGAGAAACAUGACCCUGUUUUCUGACCAGUGUUUUAAGGCUUUCACUGUUCUAGUCACUGAUAAUUUGUGGUGACCAACACUGAAAUCAGUGAUUCAUUUCACAGAUAAAAUAUAAAUUAAAAGUUCAUAAGCCUAUGAAUUGGUAGACUAAAAACC
rnacentral:lncRNA from 1 species